rnacentral:rRNA from 1 species
UGAAUACGAGAUGCUACGGCGUCGAAGCAGUCUAUGUCAUACUUCCAAGAAAAGCUUGCACUGUCAUAAACAAAUAAUGCCUGUACCAUAACCGACACAGGUGGGUAGGUAGAGUAUACUAAGGGGCGCGAGAUAACUCUCUCUAAGGAACUCGGCAAAAUGACUCCGUAACUUCGGGAGAAGGAGUGCCUUAUUUAUAAGGUUGCAAUAACAAGAUCCAAGCAACUGUUUACCAAAAACACAGGUCUCCGCUAAGUCGUAAGACGAUGUAUGGGGGCUGACGCCUGCCCAGUGCCAGAAGGUUAAAGAAGUUGGUUAGCAUCCGCGAAGCUGAUAACUGAAGCCCUGGUGAACGGCGGCCGUAACAAUAACGGUCCUAAGGUAGCGAAAUUCCUUGUCGGGUAAGUUCCGACCCGCACGAAAGGCGUAAUGAUUUGGAUACUGUCUCGGAGAGGGGCUCGGUGAAAUAGACUUGUCUGUGAAGAUGCGGACUACCUGCACCAGGACAGAAAGACCCUAUGAAGCUUUACUGUAACCUGAAAUUGAAAUUGGACUUUACUUGCGCAGUAUAGGUGGGAGGCGUUGAGAAUAUUCUUGCGGGAUUAUUGGAGCCAUCAGUGAGAUACCACUCUUGUAAUGUUAGAUUUCUAACUUUGUAUCAUUAUCUGGUCAAAGAACAGUUUCAGGCGGGCAGUUUGACUGGGGCGGUCGCCUCCUAAACGGUAACGGAGGCGCACAAAGGUUUCCUCUGAACGGGUAGAAAUCGUAUCUAGAGUGUAAAGGCAUAAGGAAGCUUGACUGUGAGACCUACAAGUCGAGCAGGGACGAAAGUCGGUCUUAGUGAUCUGACGGUGCUGAGUGGAAAGGCCGUCACUCAACGGAUAAAAGUUACUCUAGGAUAACAGGCUGAUCUCCCCCAAGAGUUCACAUCGACGGGGAGGUUUGGCACCUCGAUGUCGGCUCAUCGCAUCCUGGGGCGGUAGUACGUCCCAAGGGUUGGGCUGUUCGCCCAUGAAAGCGGUACGCGAGCUGGGUUCAGAACGUCGUGAGACAGUUCGGUCCAUAUCCGGUGUAGGCGUUAGAAUAUUGAGAGGAGCCUUCUUUAGUACGAGAGGACCGAGAAGGACAUACCUCUGGUGUACCAGUUAUCGUGCCAACGGUAAACGCUGGGUAGCUAUGUGUGGAGUGGAUAACCGCCGAAAGCAUCUAAGUGGGAAGCCCACCUCAAGAUAAGUAUUCUG